rnacentral:rRNA from 1 species
GAUGAACGCUGGCGGCGUGCCUAAUACAUGCAAGUCGAGCGAACGGACGAGAAGCUUGCUUCUCUGAUGUUAGCGGCGGACGGGUGAGUAACACGUGGAUAACCUACCUAUCAGACUGGGAUAACUUCGGGAAACCGGAGCUAAUACCGGAUAAUAUUUUGAACCGCAUGGUUCACAAGUGAAAGACGGUCUUGCUGUCACUUAUAGAUGGAUCCGCGCUGCAUUAGCUAGUUGGUAAGGUAACGGCUUACCAAGGCAACGAUGCAUAGCCGACCUGAGAGGGUGACCGGCCACACUGGAACUGAGACACGGUCCAGACUCCUACGGGAGGCAGCAGUAGGGAAUCUUCCGCAAUGGGCGAAAGCCUGACGGAGCAACGCCGCGUGAGUGAUGAAGGUCUUCGGAUCGUAAAACUCUGUUAUUAGGGAAGAACAUAUGUGUAAGUAACUGUGCACAUCUUGACGGUACCUAAUCAGAAAGCCACGGCUAACUACGUG